UUUGGAGUUAGUUUUGCAGUAAACAAGAUACAUGCUUGCUGUUUUUUUUAUGUAUCAUACAAUAUAUAACCACAACUUUUGACUAAAGUUACAAAAAAAAUAAUGUUAUGUUUGGAGUAUAAUUUGGAAGAUGGUCAAUAAGACAAGCUGACCUUGCACAAGCAGAGCCACAUAGAAGGAAACGGCAAGCUGUGCUUUUAAAGUAAGCAAAAACUUUGUUAGCAAACAAGCUCGAUCCCGAAACCUGUGCUUAAAAUUCCACCAUCUAACCAUUAGACCCUUUUUUUCAUUUUAUUGUACUGGUUUACUCCAGAUUUUAUUAAUGGGUUCAUUUCAAGUUUUAUAUAUAAUCGCUCAAUUCAAAUUUCGAAACUCAGUGGGUUCGGGUGAACCUAGACCAAUAUAUGUAGGUCCACCCCUGCCAUUGAGGAUGGAAAGUUCUUUUGUCGGAUUGUAAGCCUGCACUUGAAUCUAGUAACAUUGCGAAAGUUAUUCAUGGUUGCAACAAGAUAGUGAGUUCUUUCACUAAUACAAUUGUCUUAUGGCAUUUUUAUUAUUUCUUGGUGUUUGCAAGCCUUCUAUUUUCUUAUGAACAUGUGUGAAAAGAGUAGGAUCAUAUGGAGUAUGGUUCUUUUCAAAACCCAUGUAUCAAACAUGCUAUUUUACUGUGUAAAAGUUCUAUUUAUUGUUGUAUGUUGGGUGUUAAUACUGUAUACUUUAUGCAUAAGUAUAUUAUACUACUAAAGCAAGUUUAUUUAAUACUAUAUACAUAAUCUAAUCUAGGGGUGUAAACGAGUCAAGCCCAGCCCAAGCUCAACUAGGUUCGAGCUUGAGCUCGAACUCGGCUUGUAGGUAAUUUUUCAAGCUCGAUCUUGACUCGUUUAUUAUUUUAUUAACUACUUUAUAUUAUAUAUAAUUAUCAGUAUAUAUUAUUUAAAUAUAUAUUCAAUAUAUUGAUCAAACAUUAUUAAUCGUUUAGGCUUGCGAGCCGGCUCGAGCUUGAUAAGUGAAGCUCGGGCUCGUUUACUAAACGAGUUUGUUUUUAGGCUUUGGCUCAAGCUCGUUUAAGCUUGGUUUGUUCGAGUUUUAUUUUGAGCUGAGCUCGAGUAGCUCGGCCCAUUUGCACCUUUAAAUUCUAAUUUUAUAUAAAUAAAUAUUAAAAUUAGCAUUUGUUUACAUGGUGAUCCGGAUGUCGAUAAACGGAUACCAAAUUGCCACAAAUCUAAGUAGCUUCUAGAAUCAGCUAUGCAAGUUUCCUUGGCGAAUGAAACCAAAACCAACAAAAUGAAACUGGUGUAGUUUCAGCUUGGAACCGGUUCAGUACAGAAUUAACACCUGAAGUGGUUUGAUUAAUAGUAUUGUGUACUUAGGUUACGUGCUUCUCUGCAUAUUUAUCUUGUAUCUACAACACAUGUAAACUGAAAUAGGUGAUAGAAUAUAUAUAGUAAAGAGUUAGUGUCACAUUUUGAUCGUUCACAAACAAAUUGACCAUUUCACAAGAGCAGUGGCGGAUCUAGAAAAUCCGCAUAGGGGUAACGUUUCAAUAAAAAAGGGUAACGAAAUAAAAAAAAACGUCAAAUUUUUCCAAAAUUUACACUACGGUCGGAGCGUCACCGGAGCGUCAAGGGGGAACGGAGGUUACCCCUUCUAUCAUUCUAGGUCCGCCUCUGCACAAGAGUUUUUAAGCUGACUCUGCUUUGACCAACUUUUCAUGACAUUCAUUGUACCAAAUUCUCAUGAUAUAUUUGAAAUAUUUAUGUGUUGGAUUGAAAUGGUAAAUUAAAUUGCAGGGUGUAUGACCAGAUGCCCGAGCCAAGGUGGUGAUACUACCACUACUCAUACUCUGUUGGUAAGAGGUUGGGAUAGGAUCGUCCCGGUUGGCACCUAUGUCCCUGGUUGCCCAUCGACAGCCAACGCGCUCUUAUAUGGGCUUCUCUAGCUGCAGAAAAAGAUCAACCGACCCAAGGACUUCCAUCAUUGGUGGACCAAGUGAGGUUGGAUGUCCUUGCUGACUGAGGCUGUUAUGAGGAUAAUAGAGGUCAAGACUACUAGGAAGCCAAAGAGAAGAUUAUUCAGGUUCUGUUGGUCGCGGCUUCAUAUUCUUUCAGAAGGGGAUGGGGCAAAGGGUUGUGAUUCUAUUGUUGUGUGAGUUUUGGUGUCCAUACAGGUUCCAAAAGGGUGGGAGGGGUGUGUUUUGGUGUGUGUUUAACUGGGCUGCGGUUAAUAUUUGGUAUAUAGUGUGUUGGUACUAGCAACUUAGUUCCCGGAUGUUCAUUUUUUAAUCAACGUGGCUAAAACAAACUUUUAUGUGACUAUAUAAUAGAAACGGCCACACUUACAUUAAAUUUAUGUGGCUGUUGCUACCAUUUAGCCACUUAUUGUACAAAAUGUCUGAUUCUAGCAAGAAAUAAUGGUACCAUUUAGCCACACUUUUAAGUUGCUACGGCCACUAAACGUGAAUGUGACUGUAUGAUACCUACGAUGACUAGACAUUUGGUCACACUUGAGAUGGAAAAAAAAAGCGUGGCGAAAGGCGUAUGGUCACACUUUUUUUGUGUGGCUGUAAGCCUUUUUUGACGUAGUGUCCGACUGGUCCUGGGUUUCUGAUGACGAUGAUACCAACAAAUAUCGCUGCCAUCAUCGUGGCCUCAUUCUACGGAAUCUUCAAUCUGUUCUCGGGAUUCAUCAUUCCACGACCUAGCAUUCCUGUGUGGUGGAGAUGGUACUACUGGGGUAACCCGUUGGCAUGGACUAUUUACGGGUUGGUUGCUUCGCAGUUCGGGGACUUUGAGGAUGUACUUGCCAACGGUGAAAGCAUCAAAGAUUACUUGGAUCGAUAUUUCGGUUUCAAGCAUGAUUUUCUGGGGGCUGUUACGGGUGUCAAUGUUGGCUUGGUUCUGCUCUUCGCCUUCAUCUUUGCUUACUGCAUUCGAUCCUUAAAUUUCCAGAAAAGAUAGAUAUUGUUUUUUUCACAUUUCAUACAUUAUUUUGUUUAUCUACUUGUAAUACUGUUAAUUUUAUUCAAUAUAUAUAAGAUCAAAGAACAAUGGAUCUUUUGUUUUAA